GAAAGUCAGUCUUCUAAUUUAAAUUCCUUCCUGAUGUUAGGGAGCAGGCAGACGGAAGACUAAAGAAGCUAUGAGAAGAAAAGGAAAAGGUCAGGUCAUUGAUUUGAACAGGAGACAAGCAGGCAGGCUAGCAUACAAGAGCAUACACACUGCAUACCCAGGAAAGUCAUGAUGAGUGAACAGAACAUAAACCUAUACUACUUGACAUUCUCGAAAUCUUUACUCACUGGGAAUUGAGUACUGUACAUUUAUGGACAAGAAGAUUACGAUUAUAUAACUAAAAGUAGGCUAUAAGUAAGUUCAUAUUCUAAGAACCAGUAUUUUGCAUAUACCAAUCCCUAGAUUAAAUAUUAAUUACAUAAUUACCCCUCGCUUGAAGCAGGUUAAUACAAUGACAAUAUCUGCUAUUCAUUGAUUCAUUGCCUGGGAACAAUAAAACGAUCUCCCUUAUGUAACUCAAAUAACCCAGGCUUACUGGAGAAAUAAAAACUAGCCUGGACACAGACCUGUUUGUGCUCUUGUCUACUCCACUGCUCAUUGUCAAGCCAUUCAUGCUGGAGUAGGCAUCAUCAACAAACAGACUAGCACUCAGGCUAAAAUAAAACAGAGUAAAGUAAUGGGUGGGGGAAAUGCAGGGUUGGGACAAAAAAAUGAAUGACCCACAAACACCACAGUCAACCAGGUCUUGGGUAAGACCACAGUCAACCAGGUCUUGGGUAACACCACAGUCAACCAGGUCUUGGGUAACACCACAGUCAACCAGGUCUUGUGCAUUUUAAGAUGCCCUACUACAUCUGAUCAUGUAAUACAGUUGCCUGGCUACCCAAACUCCUUGCUCCGGGCCAAACGCUAAGCCACGCCCACGGAAGUUAGUUUAUUCACCGCAAUGAGUCUGGAUCUGAGUACCUCCCAGACGAUUUCUAGAACGCAAACGCAUUCUAACCGUUUUGAUUGGUCCCAGAAACCGAUGGAUUGGGCCAGAGC